GAAAUGCGAUAAGUAAUGUGAAUUGCAGAAUUCAGUGAAUCAUCGAAUCUUUGAACGCACAUUGCGCCCGCCAGUAUUCUGGCGGGCAUGCCUGUUCGAGCGUCAUUUCAACCAUCAAGCCCCGCGCUUGUGUUAGGGACCUGCGGCUGCCGCAGGCCCUGAAAACCAGUGGCGGGCUCGCUGUCACACCGGGCGUAGUAGAUUUUAUCUCGCUCAGGGCGUGCUGCGGGUUCCGGCCGUUAAAAAGCCUUUUUUACCCAAGGUUGACCUCGGAUCAGGUAGGAAGACCCGCUGAACUUAAGC
rnacentral:misc_RNA from 1 species